UACGUAGGGGGCGAGCGUUGUCCGGAUUUAUUGGGCGUAAAACGCUUGUAGGUGGCUACGUCAAGUCGGACGUGAAAUCUCCCGGCUUAACUGGGAGGGGUCGCUCGAUACUGGCGAGCUCGAGGCAGGUAGGGGGAAGCGGAAUUCCCGGUGUAGUGGUGGAAUGCGUAGAUAUCGGGAGGAACACCAGUGGCGAAGGCGGCUUCCUGGACCUGUUCUGACACUGAGGAGCGAAAGCUAGGGGAGCAAACGGG
rnacentral:rRNA from 1 species